rnacentral:rRNA from 1 species
GACAAAGGUGCCGAGCGUUAGGCGGAAUCACUGGGCUUAAAGCGUGUGUAGGCGGGUCGUUAAGUGUCUUGUGAAAUCCCACCGCUCAACGGUGGAACUGCUGGGCAUACUGGCGAUCUUGAGCCACCUAGGGGCAGACGGAACAAGCGGUGGAGCGGUGAAAUGCGUAGAUAUCGCUUGGAACGCCGACGGUGAAAACAGUCUGCUGGGGGUGUGCUGACGCUGAGACACGAAAGCCAGGGGAGCGAACGGG